rnacentral:rRNA from 2 species
UUAAAUUGAAGAGUUUGAUCAUGGCUCAGAUUGAACGCUGGCGGCAGGCCUAACACAUGCAAGUCGAACGGUAGCACAGAGAGCUUGCUCUCGGGUGACGAGUGGCGGACGGGUGAGUAAUGUCUGGGAAACUGCCUGAUGGAGGGGGAUAACUACUGGAAACGGUGGCUAAUACCGCAUAACGUCGCAAGACCAAAGAGGGGGACCUUCGGGCCUCUUGCCAUCAGAUGUGCCCAGAUGGGAUUAGCU